rnacentral:rRNA from 1 species
UACGUAGGGGGCAAGCGUUGUCCGGAAUCAUUGGGCGUAAAGCGCGUGUAGGCGGCUCGAUAAGUCUGCUGUGAAAGUCCAGGCUCAACCCUGGGAUGCCGGUGGAUACUGUCGAGCUCGAGUCCGGAAGAGGCGAGUGGAAUUCCUGGUGUAGCGGUGAAAUGCGCAGAUAUCAGGAGGAACACCGAUGGCGAAGGCAGCUCGCUGGGACGUGACUGACGCUGAGACGCGAAAGCGUGGAGAGCGAACAGG